CGCCAAAACUAUAACACACGUCUCGCAUAUCUCACAUAUGGUGAAGUUGAGGGCUAUCAUUGUUUGGAAAUAAUAUCAUCAGAGGAUGGAGAUGGCGUCCGACAUCAGCCAGGAAGACUUUGCCUUUUCAGACUUGUUUCUCGAUAAUCCACCUGGUGGCGAUUUAUCUGCAAGUUUUAUCCCAGAUGAGACCGAGCAGCCAGUCCUACUGGAGGUCAAACAUCACACCACAUUCGAUAACGAUGCAUCCUUGCACUGCCGGGCUGAAGAAAGCUCAUCGAAAGGGAUGUUAGACUUCACGUGUUUGGUGACAGCACCGAGGAUCAUCCCAGCUCCCAGCCCCAGGAUUGAGAUCACUCCAUCAGGAGACUCACUCAACUCUGAAACCUUACAGCAGAGCCCUGGCUCCAAAUCCCUGGGGGCCUACCGGGAAUGUGCAAGCCCCGCAAGUAGCAACUCUUCCACUGGCUGGCCUACAGAUGGAUGCUCUCCAUCUGCUUCUCCAUGUAUCUCCCCUUCCAACAGAGGUGCCACAGAGUUAUCCACCCUAGAUCUCUGCCCCUUUCUCCAGAGUAUACAAACAUCUUCCACCAACUCUUCACCGGCUAACAGCUUUACCGAUGAGCUCUUCCUCCUGCCUCAGCAACAAGUCAACCGCUCACCACUAAUGCACAGGCGCUCCCGCUCAGUGUCACCACAAGGCAAGCGUGCCUACGACCAGGCCCUCCCUUGUUCAGAGGGCACUCCUGUCAAACAACGCUCCCGGAGCCCAAGCCCUGUCCCUUCAGCCAACAACCUCCUGAGCUCCUAUCCAUUCUAUCAGGGUCAGGCUCCAGGCGAGCACCAGACUCAAGCACAGGCCUCUGUGCCUAGCACGGAGGACAAGGUGAGCAGCGUCAUCUUAUCGCAAGAUAUAGUGCAAGGUGCACAUUGUUCAAAUCCAAGGCCAAGUUGCGUGUACAGUGGAGGACCUGAACUGGAGAGGGUUGGCAGGGUGGGAGCUGACAUCAGGUCUGGAGUCUUCUGCGUCCUCCCAACUUCAUGGCCUCCUCAUUCGGUCCACCUUGGAGCAUUUGGAGGUGCUUCCUUGGCACCACUACCCUCUCUAGAAUGGCCAUUGCCCAGCCAGUGCAGUCACUAUGAGCUGGAAAUCAAGACCCAGCCAAGGUCUCACCACAGAGCUCACUACGAGACCGAGGGCAGCCGCGGACCCAUCAAGACACCAAACGGCGGACACCCCGAAGUCCAGCUACAUGGUUAUCGAGGCAUAGCUCCACUGAGCCUUCAGGUCUUCAUCGGGACCGCUGAUGAGAGGCUGAUGAGACCGCACGCCUUCUACCAGGCUCACCGCAUCACUGGAAAGACUGUGACCACACCCAGCAUGGAGAGGAUGGUGAAUGGGACCAAAGUGUUGGAAAUCUCUCUCCAGCCAAAGAACAAUAUGAGAGCGCUGAUCGACUGUGUCGGAAUUCUGAAGCGGAGAAAUGCUGACAUCGAGUUGAGGAAUGGCGAGACUGACAUCGGGCGCAAAAACACGCGGGUGCGCUUGGUGUUUCGAGUUCACAUACCACACCCUGGAGGCCAGUUGGUGUCACUUCAAGUUGCCUCUCAUCCUAUUGAAUGCUCCCAACAUUCAGCUCAAGAGAUCCCCUUGGUCAAGAUGCAGAAUAUGGACCAAUGCUCUGUUCUUGGUGGACAACAAAUGCUCUUGACUGGGCAGAAUUUCACAUAUGACUCCAGAGUGAUGUUCUCAGAGAGGACACAAGAUGGCCAGCAAAUUUGGGAGGUGGAGGCAACUGUUGACAGAGAAAAAAGCCAAGCUAAUAUGCUGCUGGUCGAGGUCCCUCCAUAUCGAAAUUGGACAAUUUGUCAUCCAGCCAAAGUCAAUUUCUAUGUUAUCAAUGGGAAGAAAAAGCGCAGUGAACUACAGCAUUUCAUCUACACCCCCGUGAUAGCCAUUAAAAGUGAGCCACCGGAUGAGGGUCAGGUGAACUUCUGCGAUUACUCCAACACUCAACCACGGUCUGAUAUGCCAGUGAAGUCACUCUUCCAUCGGUUGGAGAAGGAGAGGAAUCCUCAAUCGUUCAGUGCACUGGCAUCAGAUUCCUGGGAUUAUCAACCAGUGUUUUACCCCUCAAGUGCCAGCAGACUAAUCAGCAACCCAGAGAUGUAUUGCCCUACAAACCAGAUUUACUAUCCAAAUUAUGCUACCACUGUCUGUAGUGGGGUUCUUAAAGCAUCUUCCAGCAUUCAUGCUUCAGUCCUUCCCCCUAACGGUUCUGAUAUCAAAAGGGAAAAAGUGAGUCAAAAUCCUCAAGUCAUACAGACAUUCCAGGCCUAUUCAUCUUCAAAGCAUCAAAAUUACACGCAAGUUGUACGAUCUUUAGGCAAGUCGCCGCAUUCCAAAUUAGUCCAAGGUGAUAGUUGCGGGAGGUCUUUAAUACAGACUGGCUCAGAUGGAACCGACCAAGAAGCUCCAACACAAGAGAGGGUUACAAUCAAACAAGAGGACCUUAGCUGUGUCUACCUGGAAGAUGUGAAUGACAUUAUACGAAGAGACCUGAGAGACCAUCACAGUGACGAUGGAGGCCAGCGAUAUCCCAGACUCUAAAAUGAACAGCAACAACUCAGGAUCACGAGAUAAUGGAAGGAAAAUAAAUCCCACUCAUCGCCUACAUCAUCGACUUCGAAAUUUUGUUCUUUAUGUUGUCAUCAAUGAUUUUUAAGUCAGCUUUAGCAAGUAGUACCUUUCAUGUGAUUGUGAUUAUGUACGUGUGUGUAUUAUGUAUAAAGGAGUAAGUGUAACCUGUAACCUGUUCCACAUUAUCAAAACAUGCAGAGAAGCGGUAUGCCAUAUACACACAAAUGGAGUGGUCCAGUACAUUGAUCCUCUGAAAUGGACUAGCAAUUUCUCUGCUCACAUUAAUCCUUGUACAUUUCAUGAAACGGCAUGAACAAGUUUGGAAUUUCUGAUUUCCCAUCCUGUCACAACUGUUUUGAGAACAAAGAAAGUGUGAAUUUGCUGAGGGAAUUGGACAGGCGACUUAGAAAUGGCAAACAAAAUCAGGAAUGCUGUAUGUGACAUAUCUCCAAAGAUCAGUGAAAUAACAAAGAUGGCACUGGAGUUUGCAAAUGCGCACGGAGUCAAAAGGAAAGCGGACACAAUGCUGGAAGAACUGAGAGUCAAAGACACCAAGACUGUCAUGGCCACCAAACUAUGGAAACAAAAUGCUAACACAAAAAGAGAGCCUGUCAGAAGGUCGCAAAGACUUG